rnacentral:tRNA from 1 species
AUUUAAGUAGCUUAUAAAUUAGAGUUUAAUAUUGAAGAUAUUAAGGAAAUAAAAAUUAUUCUUAAAUA